rnacentral:misc_RNA from 1 species
GAAGAAGAAGAAGAAGAAAGAGAAGGAUCCUUACUUGUUACUGCAUGCUUCUCCAUUUCAAAGAUCUGCUUUCCAGGUUUGUCUUCUUUAUUUUUCCUCUUCUUUUCCUUCUCCCCUCAUCUCUAUCCAGCCUUGUUCAAGGUUUUUUCUUUAUCUCUUCUCUUUUGUCACGCACGCCUCAUUUCUAUCCAGCCUUCUUCAUGCUUCUUUUUCUCCUCUUCUCUUCCUUCAUGCCUCGUCUCUCUCUAACCCUGUUCAUGCUUUUUCGUUCCUUCAUUCUACUCUGUUGCUCUAGCUCUCGUUCUUUAAAAUUGUCAAUGGCUUGGUGUUAGAUUUUUUUUUCUACUCUUCUUGCUUCUCUCUUUUC